rnacentral:rRNA from 1 species
CCUACGGGCGGCAGCAGUGAGGAAUAUUGGUCAAUGGGCGAGAGCCUGAACCAGCCAAGUCGCGUGAGGGAGUACUGCCCUAUGGGUUGUAAACCUCUUUUGUCGGGGAGCAAAAGCCGGACGUGUCCGGCUGUGAGAGUACCCGAAGAAAAAGCAUCGGCUAACUCCGUGCCAGCAGCCGCGGUAAUACGGAGGAUGCGAGCGUUAUCCGGGUUUAUUGGGGUUAAAGGGUGCGCAGGCGGAUUUUUAAGUCAGCGGUCAAAUCGUGGGGCUCAACCCCAUCCAGCCGUUGAAACUGGGGAUCUAGAGUGUGCGAGAGGUAUGCGGAAUGCGUGGUGUAGCGGUGAAAUGCAUAGAUAUCACGCAGAACCCCGAUUGCGAAGGCAGCAUACCGGUGCACAACUGACGCUCAGGCACGAAAGCGUGGGUAUCGAACAGGAUUAGAUACCCCAGUAGUC